UACGGGGGGGGCAAGCGUUGUUCGGAAUUACUGGGCGUAAAGGGCUCGUAGGCGGCCAACUAAGUCGGAUGUGAAAUCCCCAGGCUCAACCUGGGAACUGCAUCCGAUACUGGAUGGCUUGAAUUCGGGAGAGGGAUGCAGAAUUCCAGGUGUAGCGGUGAAAUGCGUAGAUAUCUGGAGGAACACCGGUGGCGAAGGCGGCAUCCUGGACCGGUAUUGACGCUGAGGCGCGAAAGCCAGGGGAGCAAACGGG
rnacentral:rRNA from 1 species